rnacentral:rRNA from 1 species
GCCCAGACUCCUACGGGAGGCAGCAGUGGGGGAUAUUGGACAAUGGGGGAAACCCUGAUCCAGCGACGCCGCGUGAGUGAAGAAGUAUUUCGGUAUGUAAAGCUCUGUCAGCAGGGAAGAAAGAAAUGACGGUACCUGACCAAGAAGCCCCGGCUAACUACGUGCCAGCAGCCGCGGUAAUACGUAGGGGGCAAGCGUUAUCCGGAUUUACUGGGUGUAAAGGGAGCGUAGACGGCGAUGCAAGUCUGAAGUGAAAGGCGGGGGCCCAACCCCCGGACUGCUUUGGAAACUGUAUGGCUGGAGUGCAGGAGAGGUAAGUGGAAUUCCUAGUGUAGCGGUGAAAUGCGUAGAUAUUAGGAGGAACACCAGUGGCGAAGGCGGCUUACUGGACUGUAACUGACGUUGAGGCUCGAAAGCGUGGGGAGCAAACAGGAUUAGAUACCCUCGUAC